CCAUUAGAUGUUCUGGGCCGCACGCGCGCUACACUGAUGAAUGCAACGAGCUCUACCCUUGACCGAAAGGCCCGGGUAAACUUGUGAAACUUCAUCGUGAUGGGGAUAGAUUAUUGCAAUUAUUAAUCUUCAACGAGGAAUUCCUAGUAAGCGCGAGUCAUCAGCUCGCGUUGAUUACGUCCCUGCCCUUUGUACACACCGCCCGUCGCUCCUACCGAUUGAAUGGUCCGGUGAAAUCUUCGGAUUGCUGACCAAGAUCCAGCAAUGGAGCUUGGUUGCGAGAAGUUGAUUAAACCUUAUUAUUUAGAGGAAGGAGAAGUCGUAACA
rnacentral:rRNA from 1 species